rnacentral:rRNA from 1 species
AUUGAACGCUGGCGGCAGGCCUAACACAUGCAAGUCGAACGAGUGGCGGACGGGUGAGUAAUGUCUGGGAAACUGCCUGAUGGAGGGGGAUAACUACUGGAAACGGUAGCUAAUACCGCAUACAAUUGGAGGUGCCCAGAUGGGAUUAGCUUGUUGGUGGGGUAACGGCUUACCAAGGCGACGAUCCCUAGCUGGUAUGAGAGGAUGACCAGCCACACUGGAACUGAGACACGGUCCAGACUCCGACGGGAGGCAGCAGUGGGGAAUAUUGGACAAUGGGGGCAAGCCUGAUGCAGCCAUGCCGCGUGUAUGAAGAAGGCCUUCGGGUUGUAAAGUACUUUCAGCGGGGAGGCGUUACCUGCAGAAGAAGCACCGGCUAACUCCGUGCCAGCAGCCGCGGUAAUUC